GCAAACCGAGGGCGGCACGAAACCUCUCGUUGGAUCGGGCGUCAGUGACGGGAUGCAGGACACGUGGGAAGGCCUGGCUACCGUCGCAGGCUGCACGCUUUCUGCUUUCCGCAGGGGCUUUGGCACUUAUUUUCUGGGCUCAAGUUAUCACUGAAACCCUGGCCACGUCGGUUUUUUCCUAGCUAGCGGGACAGGAGAAACCUGUAAGCUCCCCACUCUACAGCCCUCCAAUUAAUAAGACAGAACCAAGUAACUGUUAGCUUGAAGAAAAUGGACAUAGAAUGGGAGGGGCACAGGGAAAAGGAUAAUGAAGGAAAAGAGGAAAACCAGAGAGAAAUAGAGGUGGAGUUGGAAAAAAAAUCUAAAUUCCCCAGGAAAAAAAUGAUUACUACAACAGAAUGCUCUGUAGGCAUUUCAU